ensembl:snRNA U6 U6 spliceosomal RNA
GUGCUCGCUUUGGCAGCACAUGUACUAAAAUUGGAACGUUAUAAAGAAGACUAGCAUGGCCUCUGAGCAAGGAUGACAUGCAAAUUCAUGAAGCAUUCCAUAUUUGG